AAUGGUUCUUCAGAGUUCAAAGCAGUGGAAGUCACCAGACAUGGAGAAGAAUGGCACUUGGCUGUGCAAUGCAGAAAUCUGCCCUAGGGUUAAGCAGAUCACCCCUGCAUGGCAGUGCCUGAGAAUGAGAUGGGAAUGAGUUGGGAACUGUAGAGAAUUUUCUCAAAAGUGGCCCUGGGAAUCAACUGAGCAUUUCUCAAUAUUGAUGUCAUGUGGGAUCGUGCAGCUUUGGACAAGAGCUGUGUGAGUCAGUGGAGAGAAGCAGAGAUAUCUUUAUUCCCUUUGCAAGAAUAUCCAAGACCCUUCCAUCAAGACUGGGUCUGAAAGCUUUUUAAGGAAAAUAUUACAAGAGGCCAUGUGCUUUAAGCAACAUUCCAUCUGUUUUCCACUCAAGGCUGUUCAACACCCUCAGACUCCAGGAUGACAAGUGAUUACACUUUGUCAUCUUACCUCUUGAAGAAAGAGGGGAAGGUGAAAACCUUCUGGGAGAAAAUGAUGUUUUAUUAAAGGACAUCCUCUGUGAAAUCCAGAUACUACCGGUGAUCUUCCAAAAAGCACAGCUUUAAAUACGAGCCCUUGAACUCAAGAGUCACACGAUCUGAUAAGGAAUGCAUGUGAUUCCUAAUGUUGACACUAUGACUGUACUUUAAAGACAGAAAACAGAGCUUCCAGAAUGGGCUCAUAACUACUCCAAGAAUGAACCGGACAUUUGUGUUUAUGCACCUGUUACUCAAGACAUAAAAAUAUUUUAUUCUUUCGAUUAUGAAUAAGGAAGAUAUAUUUUGGUUAAAGGGUCUGAGUGCUUUCAUCUUUAACUAUCUUUUUAAAAUAUUGCUUAUUGAGAAUUUUGUACAGGGAUACAGUAUACCAUUUCUAUCCCUCCUUUGUCUCCCUCAAUGUGUCUAUCCCCUCUCAAAUUAGGCGCUCUCUCUCUCUCUCUCUCUCUCUCUCUUUCUCCUCUCCUCUCCUCUCCUCCUCCUCCUCCUCCUCUUCUUCUCUCUCUCUCUGUCUCUCCUCUCCUCCUCCUCCUCCUCCUCUUCCUCCUCCUCCUCCUCCUCCUCCUCCUCCUCCUCCUCCUCUUCUUCUUCUUCUUCUUCUUCUUCUUCUUCUUCUUCUUCUUCUUCUUCUUCUCUCUCUCUCUCUCUCUCUCUCUCUCUCUCUCUCUCUCUCUCUCUCUCUCCUUGCAUGUAUAUGGCCACAAGGUUAGAGGACCCAUCCAUGAAGAACCGUUAGUUAGUGGGUGUUGAGAGUGAUAGACACACCUUGACUCAUUCACUCACAAUGGGAGCCAGCUCUACAUAGACAUUUUAAAACAAAUACAGUAUCAAGAAGAAAAGAAAAAAGAAAUUACUCAUUUUUAGGUUAUGCAUCUAUCCCCAGUGAAGAUUUUUUAAAUGUUCUUAAUGCGAUUAAUUACUAUACCCCACAAUGAAAAAAAAUUAAAAGGACCAGAGGAAAAUUCAGGACAUUUAAUUACCAUUCCAUGCAAAGAAGGCAAUGAUAAAACACUGCUUUGUUGUUUUGUAAAAUAAUAGUGUAUUGUAUAUCAUAUGUGUAAUCUGAAUUUAAUUAUACAUAAGCAUAGACACACAUCCGUACAUAAUGCAGCAUAAACCUACAAACAUACAUGCUAAUGUGGUUUGAAUAUGAAAAGCUUCCUACAAGCUCAUGUGUUUGAACACUAGGCCCUCAGCUAGUAAGCUGCUUGGGAAGGUUGUAGAACCUCUAGGAGGUGGAGCCUCAUUGGAGGAUGUGGUUCACUGGGGAUGGGCCUUGAGUUUUAUUGUCUUCAUCUCACUCUGCUUCCUAAGUAUGGUAACGAUGUCACCUGUCCUGUUCCUGCCUGAUGUCAUGACUUCCCCACUAUGAUGGACUGUAGCUGUAUCUCUCUGUAAACGUGAGUCAAAAUAAAUCCUAUCAUCCUUUAAAA